AGAAGAUCCACCCACCGAGUGCAGAGAGGUCCGAGAUUAAGCUGUUCCUUCAUUUAGGACACAGCGGUCUUUUUAUGGGUGGGUGUGGGGAGCAUUUCUGCUUCUGAGCAGGAUUUUUUUUUAAUCAAUCCUCAUCUUUCUCCACCUCAGCUGUCUCUUCAGGCAUUUAUCACUUUAAAAUACACUUAUGGCAAAGCCUUGG
rnacentral:lncRNA from 1 species